rnacentral:rRNA from 1 species
UAGUCCUAGCCCUUAACGCUGGAUGCUAGGUGUAGGGCUGAUGAGGCUCUGUUCCGGAGCGAACGCGAUAAGCAUCCCGCUUGGGAACCUCGGCCGCAAGGCUAAAACUCAAACGAAUUGACGGGGACCCGCACAAGCAGCGGAGCGUGUGGUUUAAUUCGAUGCUACACGAAGUACCUUACCUGGGUUUGACAUGUUGGUGGUACCGAACCGUAAGGGGAGGGACCCUUCGGGGAGCCUACACAGGUGCUGCAUGGCUGUCGUCAGCUCGUGCCGUGAGGUGUCGGGUUAAGUCCCGUAACGAGCGCAACCCUUGCUCUUAGUGAUACGUCGUCUAAGGGGACUGCCGGCGACAAGCCGCCGCAAGGUGGAGAUGACGUCAAGUCAGCAUGGCCUUGAUAUCCAGGGCUACACACACGCUACAAUGGCCGGUACAAAGGGCAGCCAAGCCGCGAGGUGGAGCGAAUCCCAGCAAAGCCGGUCCCAGUUCGGAUUGCAGGCUGCAACCCGCCUGCAUGAAGUUGGAGUUGCUAGUAACCGCGCGUCAGCCACUCGUGCGGUGAAUACGUACCCGGGUCUUGUACACACCGCCCGUCACGUCAUGGGAGUUGGCA